GAUGAACGCUGGCGGCGUGCCUAAUACAUGCAAGUCGAGCGAACGGACGAGAAGCUUGCUUCUCUGAUGUUAGCGGCGGACGGGUGAGUAACACGUGGAUAACCUACCUAUAAGACUGGGAUAACUUCGGGAAACCGGAGCUAAUACCGGAUAAUAUUUUGAACCGCAUGGUUCAAAAGUGAAAGACGGUCUUGCUGUCACUUAUAGAUGGAUCCGCGCUGCAUUAGCUAGUUGGUAAGGUAACGGCUUACGAAGGCAACGAUGCAUAGCCGACCUGAGAGGGUGAUAGGCCACACUGGAACUGAGACACGGUCCAGGCGCCUACGGGACGCAGCAGUAGGGAAUCUGCCGCAAUGGGCGAAAGCCUGACGGAGCAACGCCGAGCGAGUGAUGAAGGUCUUCGGAGCGUAAAACUCUGUUAUUAGGGAAGAACAGAUGUGUAAGUAACUGUGCACAUCUUGACGGUACCUAAUCAGAAAGCCACGGCUAACUACGUG
rnacentral:rRNA from 1 species